UUUUUUUUUUUUUUUUUUGAGAUGGAGUCUCGCUCUGUCCCGCUGCCUGGAGUGCAGUGGCGCGAUCUCGGCUCACUGCAAGCUCCGCCUCCCAGGUUCGCGCCAUUCUCCUGCCUCAGCCUCCCGAGUAGCUGGGACUAUAGGCGCCCUCUACCGCGCCCAGCUAAUGUUUUUUUGUUUUUGUAUUUUUAGUAGAGACGGGGUUUCACCGUGUUAGCCAGGAUGGUCUCGAUCUCCUGACCUCGUGAUCCGCCCGCCUCGGCCUCCCAAAGUGCUGGGAUUACAGGAGUGAGCCACCGCGCCCGGCCACGUAGUUUGACUUCUAAGAGCACUACAGCUCUGCUGAAGAUGUGGUUUGUCAGCUGACUGAUUAUUCUCUGCUGUUCUGGAUAGUCUUCUAUGUACAAAACUAGAGAUGAGUGGACUUUUCGUGUGCUGUGUGGUGGAUGUGACUCAGGUCAUAGCCACUGCUCUGAAAAGUGAUGGAGUCAGGGAGCCAUCAUCCAGCCUCACCUCCUGGGUUGUCAACCUACAUUUUUGGAGCCAGCUCAUUCUUUGAGGUUUCUCUAAGUCCCCAUGUGCAACCCUUGUCAGAGUGGGCUCUGCCUUCCAUAGUUAUUCAGGAUCCCCUAGUGGAUGAAAGCCUGGUUAUCAGUCACACCAUCUGGAAUAUGUAAUUACUGUGGAAGAGGAAAAGACACACUACAGUGCAUCUUAAUUGCCUGGAAGCUGAAAGUGACAUAACUCAUUUCUGACCACAUCCCAUUGGCCAAUCCUAAUAGCAUGGCCCCAGCAUAACUGCAAGGGAAGCACAUGUAUUUGGUUAGCCCUCUGUACACAUGGUAAUUCUAAAAUUUAAUGUCCAAAAUUUUCCUUCUAUUCUACGUGAGCAAAUCCCCAAUUAUGUAAAUAAAAAACAAAAACCUCCAAACAAUGGGUCAUCUUUUGUUUCCCACAUUAUUUUGUAACUGAUAUUCAAUUCAUCAGAAAUUCUGUUAGCUUGAUAUAAAGAAUAUCCUGAAUUUGAUCACAUCUCACAACAUCUACUAAUACCAACCUCCUUCCUACUAGCUUUACAUACAUAGAAAAAUUCUUUUUUGUGUUAAAGUAAAUUUAAUUUAAAAUUACUUUUAAAUUAAAUGUUUUUAUGUAACAUGCAUGUCUGC
rnacentral:lncRNA from 1 species